rnacentral:rRNA from 1 species
AUUGAACGCUGGCGGCAGGCUUAACCCAUGCAAGUCGAACGGGUGGCGGACGGGUGAGUAAUGCUUGGGAAUCUAGCUUAUGGAGGGGGAUAAUUAAGGGAAACUGGAGCUAAUACCGCGUACCAUAGGAUGAGCCAACGUGGGAUUAGGUAGUUGGUGAGGUAAAGGCUCACCAAGCCGACGAUCGCUAGCUGGUCUGAGAGGAUGACCAGCCACACUGGGACUGAGACACGGCCCAGACUCCUACGGGAGGCAGCAGUGGGGAAUAUUGCGCAAUGGGGGCAACCUGACGCAGCCAUGCCGCGUGAAUGAAGAAGGCCUUCGGGUUGUAAAGUUCUUUCGGUAGCGAAGCGUUAACUACAGAAGAAGCACCGGCUAACUCCGUGCCAGCAGCCGCGGUAAUUC